rnacentral:rRNA from 1 species
ACGGGCGGUGAGUGCAACUGACGCUGAGGCUCGAAAGUGUGGGUAUCAAACAGGAUUAGAUACCCUGGUAGUCCACACAGUAAACGAUGAAUACUCGCGGUUGGUUCGUUAGAGUCAGCUGCCAAGCGAAAGCGUUAAGUAUUCCACCUGGGGAGUACGCCGGCAACGGUGAAACUCAAAGGAAUUGACGGGGGCCCGCACAAGCGGAGGAACAUGUGGUUUAAUUCGAUGAUACGCGAGGAACCUUACCCGGGCUUGAACUGCCAGUGACUCAUGCAGAGACGCAUGUUUCUUCGGACACUGGCGGAGGUGCUGCAUGGUUGUCGUCAGCUCGUGCCGUGAGGUGUCGGCUUAAGUGCCAUAACGAGCGCAACCCUUCUCCCUGUUUGCCAUCGGGUAAUGCCGGGCACUCCAGGGACACUGCCAUCGUAAGAUGUGAGGAAGGUGGGGAUGACGUCAAAUCAGCACGGCCCUUACGUCCGGGGCUACACACGUGUUACAAUGGGCGGUACAGAAAGCAGCUACCCCGCGAGGGGAUGCCAAUCUCAAAAACCGUUCUCAGUUCGGACUGGAGUCUGCAACCCGACUCCACGAAGCUGGAUUCGCUAGUAAUCGCGCAUCAGCCAUGGCGCGGUGAAUACGUUCCCGGGCCUUGCACACACCGCCC